rnacentral:misc_RNA from 1 species
AAAUUUUUUAACCAGCUUCUGAUUACAUAGGUAACCAGUUCAAUUCAUAGACAAAA